UACGUAGGGCGCAAGCGUUGUCCGGAAUUAUUGGGCGUAAAGAGCUCGUAGGCGGCUUGUCACGUCGGUUGUGAAAGCCCGGGGCUUAACCCCGGGUCUGCAGUCGAUACGGGCAGGCUAGAGUGUGGUAGGGGAGAUCGGAAUUCCUGGUGUAGCGGUGAAAUGCGCAGAUAUCAGGAGGAACGCCGGUGGCGAAGGCGGUUCUCUGGGCCUUACCUGACGCUGAGGAGCGAAAGCGUGGGGAGCGAACAGG
rnacentral:rRNA from 1 species